rnacentral:ncRNA from 1 species
UUGAGCCGUAAGCGCUGAAAAGCGCACGUACGGUUCUUAGGGGGGGAGUCGGUCAGUAAUGACCGGCCCCUACCCGAC